CACACCGCCCGUCACACCAUGGGAGUUGGCUUUACCCGAAGGCGGUGCGCUAACCAGCAAUGGAGGCAGCCGACCACGGUAGGGUCAGCGACAGGGGUG
rnacentral:rRNA from 1 species